rnacentral:rRNA from 1 species
UACGGAGGGUGCGAGCGGUGCUCGGAAUUACUGGGCGUAAAGCGCGUGUAGGCGGCCUUUUAAGUUCGGUGUGAAAGCCCGGGGCUCACCCCCGGAAGUGCAUCGAAUACUGGGAGGCUAGAGUACCGGAGAGGAGGGUGGAAUUCCUGGUGUAGCGGUGAAAUGCGUAGAUAUCAGGAGGAACACCGGUGGCGAAGGCGGCCCUCUGGACGGAUACUGACGCUGAGACGCGAAAGCGUGGGGAGCAAACAGG